UUCCUGUGGAGUGUGCAGUCUGUUUACAUACAAAUGGAAAACACGUGGUUUUGAGGGUAGACCUGUUUGGAGCUAGAUAUUUUGAGAAAAUGCAGUAUCGCUUGCCCCUUUUAUGGUGUUAGCUGAUGAGAUAGGUAACAAAUAACAUUUCCUCCGAAUAUUUUGUCAUGAAAAAUACAAACUGAUUUUUAAGAAUUUUUUCCCCUCUAUAGUGUUAUAUAGUGAAAACAAUUACCGGUGUGAUACCUUGAAGGGCUGUGUGUCAAAUUGAAAAAAUGCAUGCAGGUGCCAGUUUUCAGUAUUUUAUGUCAAAUCUUGUUAACAGAAAUUAGUUUCUGUAGUCUGAAGAUAGAAAAAUGCUUUUAAAAUUUUGUAAUGAAAAAAAUAUGAAAAAUGAUGAUUUUUGGUGUGGAAAACAUGUGAUUUUUAAUAUAUAAUAAUAAAAACCUUUAAAAAUGGAUGAUAUGAAGUCACUGGAGCUUAGAAUAUUGGUUUCUGUGUUCUAGAUGCUGUAAAAGUGUGCAGAUCAGUUGUCGCAGUCAUAUUUGAUGCCCUCAGACUUUGUCGUAAGAGCACGCAGUGACUAGUUUUUCAUCGAAUGACCAAUUUUGAGUUUACGUGCAAGUCUCAGAAUUAAGCGACAAGUGCGAAACAUUGCGAAGAAGAACAUGAACAGUCUAUCGAAGGAUUAUUUUGACAAAAACUUUAAUUUCUUUGAUUUCUGCUCACCUUAUGUGAGAUUUAAUUUCAUUUCCUACAUAGUCCUGAUUCAAGGAAUUUAGGGAUUUGGGCAAAUAUGUGCUAUGUUUAUGUUUAUUUUACACUGAAUUACCCAUUUGUAAUAGUUUAAGGCAAAAAACAUGCUUUAACACCAUUUACAAGAUCACACAGAUGCAUAUUUUGUGUAGAAAAGAGGUUUCAUGCAUUUAGUUGAGAAGGUCAUUAUGAGUCAAGUAUAUAUAAUAUCAUCAUGAUAUAAUCUUGGAGCUUUUCAUGGUUUUCAUCCUUAAAAACUGAUGAAUUUCAGUUUACCAGAAAAUGUUUUUAUGCAUUAUAGCCCAAAAAUCAGUUUCUUCCCACAUUUUAAGGGGAGUUCCUUAUUUACAAAAUACAAAUACUGAUAUUUAUGUUUGAAUGACCUAAGAUAUUGAAACAUUAGUCAUUGUUAAAAUGUUUAGAAGGAGAUAUUACUAUUUUUUAUAUGGUAACCUCAGCACACCUGUCCUAUUCUAAGUAAUGAAAAUCAAAAUUUGAAUGAAAUCAUAUCAUGUAACAUGUAUGGGUACAAUAUAGAUGCCCCACCCUUAUCCACAACUAUGGGGGUUUGUAUGAUUCUUUUUUUAGUAUUGUGAUAUGGCAUGCACUUAUGUGAUUUCUCUUGUAAAUAUGCAUCAGAAAUGCAUUGCCUUAUUGAAUUACUGCAUGUAUAUGCUUAUUGCUCUUGCUGUAAAUUAUCUAACAUGUGUCAAUCAUCAUUGAUCAGUAAUUCUCUUCAAAUUCUAUAGGGAUGGCCUGAUGAGGGGUAUAAUUAAGUGUGUCCAAUUGAAAUUUCAUGGCUACUUUUGCUCUACAGAUAGAAUGUUACAUAAAUCACAGAAUGAAGUUGCAUCCCAGUUGUUUCUUUUACAUUUCUUAUCAUCAAAGCAAGAUUUAUGGUUGUCAGAGCAGAUCUGAGCUCCAUUACAUGCUGAUAUCAUUUGGGCUGUCCUGUGUUACCAUGCUGCUUUUAGAUAAAAGUGAGUAUGGCAGUGUGUAGACAAGUAAACAGGCUUUACCUGAUAUAUAAAUUUACCAGAUACAGAUUUCAUUUUUGACCUGAUAAUUCACAAUAUAGUUAUGAAAUGUGUGAACAAUAGGGGUAAAUUUCUUCUUUGUUAUGCAAUGAUUGCAUAAUGAAGUGACUCUAAUGGAAUAUUUUUAUUUUGAUGUAAAGAAAAAUGUAUAUGCUCUGAUUUGGUACCAAGAUGAUUUUGUAUCUUGUUGUUUUAAGGAUGAAAAUUGGCUUCAGGUCAUGCAUGGUGUGAGGCUCCAAAUGUGUUUCAUCUGUGCUAUUUUCUUCAGUCUGAGUAAGGGAGAUAAAUCCUCAAUAGCUAAUGAAAUAUUGGGAGCUUGGGGACAGGGUUUUAGGGAUUUGGUGACAGUUGAUUGGGAAUUCUCAGGUGCAAAUUUGAAAGGGAUCUGACAUCUUUAGAGUCUCUUCAAGGUAUCACACCGGUAAUCGGCCAAUCAAAAUGAACUUAGUCAAUUGUAGUUCCAUAUAUACUUCAGAAUUAUUUUUUUCCUUGACUGCAUUUUUACAUUUUCCUUUACUCAGUUUUAAAAUUUUUUGUACCACUGAGUAGGAUAUUUCAUGUAUUUUGUUAGGUGAUGAUUUUUUUUCACAGGGACUACUUCUUUCAGGGCUCAUGCAGCAGCUUCCUGUGGAGUGUGCAGUCUGUUUACAUACAAAUGGAAAACACGUGGUUUUGAGGGUAGACCUGUUUGGAGCUAGAUAUUUUGAGAAAAUGCAGUAUCGCUUGCCCCUUUUAUGGUGUUAGCUGAUGAGAUAGGUAACAAAUAACAUUUCCUCCGAAUAUUUUGUCAUGAAAAAUACAAACUGAUUUUUAAGAAUUUUUUCCCCUCUAUAGUGUUAUAUAGUGAAAACAAUUACCGGUGUGAUACCUUGAAGGGCUGUGUGUCAAAUUGAAAAAAUGCAUGCAGGUGCCAGUUUUCAGUAUUUUAUGUCAAAUCUUGUUAACAGAAAUUAGUUUCUGUAGUCUGAAGAUAGAAAAAUGCUUUUAAAAUUUUGUAAUGAAAAAAAUAUGAAAAAUGAUGAUUUUUGGUGUGGAAAACAUGUGAUUUUUAAUAUAUAAUAAUAAAAACCUUUAAAAAUGGAUGAUAUGAAGUCACUGGAGCUUAGAAUAUUGGUUUCUGUGUUCUAGAUGCUGUAAAAGUGUGCAGAUCAGUUGUCGCAGUCAUAUUUGAUGCCCUCAGACUUUGUCGUAAGAGCACGCAGUGACUAGUUUUUCAUCGAAUGACCAAUUUUGAGUUUACGUGCAAGUCUCAGAAUUAAGCGACAAGUGCGAAACAUUGCGAAGAAGAACAUGAACAGUCUAUCGAAGGAUUAUUUUGACAAAAACUUUAAUUUCUUUGAUUUCUGCUCACCUUAUGUGAGAUUUAAUUUCAUUUCCUACAUAGUCCUGAUUCAAGGAAUUUAGGGAUUUGGGCAAAUAUGUGCUAUGUUUAUGUUUAUUUUACACUGAAUUACCCAUUUGUAAUAGUUUAAGGCAAAAAACAUGCUUUAACACCAUUUACAAGAUCACACAGAUGCAUAUUUUGUGUAGAAAAGAGGUUUCAUGCAUUUAGUUGAGAAGGUCAUUAUGAGUCAAGUAUAUAUAAUAUCAUCAUGAUAUAAUCUUGGAGCUUUUCAUGGUUUUCAUCCUUAAAAACUGAUGAAUUUCAGUUUACCAGAAAAUGUUUUUAUGCAUUAUAGCCCAAAAAUCAGUUUCUUCCCACAUUUUAAGGGGAGUUCCUUAUUUACAAAAUACAAAUACUGAUAUUUAUGUUUGAAUGACCUAAGAUAUUGAAACAUUAGUCAUUGUUAAAAUGUUUAGAAGGAGAUAUUACUAUUUUUUAUAUGGUAACCUCAGCACACCUGUCCUAUUCUAAGUAAUGAAAAUCAAAAUUUGAAUGAAAUCAUAUCAUGUAACAUGUAUGGGUACAAUAUAGAUGCCCCACCCUUAUCCACAACUAUGGGGGUUUGUAUGAUUCUUUUUUUAGUAUUGUGAUAUGGCAUGCACUUAUGUGAUUUCUCUUGUAAAUAUGCAUCAGAAAUGCAUUGCCUUAUUGAAUUACUGCAUGUAUAUGCUUAUUGCUCUUGCUGUAAAUUAUCUAACAUGUGUCAAUCAUCAUUGAUCAGUAAUUCUCUUCAAAUUCUAUAGGGAUGGCCUGAUGAGGGGUAUAAUUAAGUGUGUCCAAUUGAAAUUUCAUGGCUACUUUUGCUCUACAGAUAGAAUGUUACAUAAAUCACAGAAUGAAGUUGCAUCCCAGUUGUUUCUUUUACAUUUCUUAUCAUCAAAGCAAGAUUUAUGGUUGUCAGAGCAGAUCUGAGCUCCAUUACAUGCUGAUAUCAUUUGGGCUGUCCUGUGUUACCAUGCUGCUUUUAGAUAAAAGUGAGUAUGGCAGUGUGUAGACAAGUAAACAGGCUUUACCUGAUAUAUAAAUUUACCAGAUACAGAUUUCAUUUUUGACCUGAUAAUUCACAAUAUAGUUAUGAAAUGUGUGAACAAUAGGGGUAAAUUUCUUCUUUGUUAUGCAAUGAUUGCAUAAUGAAGUGACUCUAAUGGAAUAUUUUUAUUUUGAUGUAAAGAAAAAUGUAUAUGCUCUGAUUUGGUACCAAGAUGAUUUUGUAUCUUGUUGUUUUAAGGAUGAAAAUUGGCUUCAGGUCAUGCAUGGUGUGAGGCUCCAAAUGUGUUUCAUCUGUGCUAUUUUCUUCAGUCUGAGUAAGGGAGAUAAAUCCUCAAUAGCUAAUGAAAUAUUGGGAGCUUGGGGACAGGGUUUUAGGGAUUUGGUGACAGUUGAUUGGGAAUUCUCAGGUGCAAAUUUGAAAGGGAUCUGACAUCUUUAGAGUCUCUUCAAGGUAUCACACCGGUAAUCGGCCAAUCAAAAUGAACUUAGUCAAUUGUAGUUCCAUAUAUACUUCAGAAUUAUUUUUUUCCUUGACUGCAUUUUUACAUUUUCCUUUACUCAGUUUUAAAAUUUUUUGUACCACUGAGUAGGAUAUUUCAUGUAUUUUGUUAGGUGAUGAUUUUUUUUCACAGGGACUACUUCUUUCAGGGCUCAUGCAGCAGCUUCCUGUGGAGUGUGCAGUCUGUUUACAUACAAAUGGAAAACACGUGGUUUUGAGGGUAGACCUGUUUGGAGCUAGAUAUUUUGAGAAAAUGCAGUAUCGCUUGCCCCUUUUAUGGUGUUAGCUGAUGAGAUAGGUAACAAAUAACAUUUCCUCCGAAUAUUUUGUCAUGAAAAAUACAAACUGAUUUUUAAGAAUUUUUUCCCCUCUAUAGUGUUAUAUAGUGAAAACAAUUACCGGUGUGAUACCUUGAAGGGCUGUGUGUCAAAUUGAAAAAAUGCAUGCAGGUGCCAGUUUUCAGUAUUUUAUGUCAAAUCUUGUUAACAGAAAUUAGUUUCUGUAGUCUGAAGAUAGAAAAAUGCUUUUAAAAUUUUGUAAUGAAAAAAAUAUGAAAAAUGAUGAUUUUUGGUGUGGAAAACAUGUGAUUUUUAAUAUAUAAUAAUAAAAACCUUUAAAAAUGGAUGAUAUGAAGUCACUGGAGCUUAGAAUAUUGGUUUCUGUGUUCUAGAUGCUGUAAAAGUGUGCAGAUCAGUUGUCGCAGUCAUAUUUGAUGCCCUCAGACUUUGUCGUAAGAGCACGCAGUGACUAGUUUUUCAUCGAAUGACCAAUUUUGAGUUUACGUGCAAGUCUCAGAAUUAAGCGACAAGUGCGAAACAUUGCGAAGAAGAACAUGAACAGUCUAUCGAAGGAUUAUUUUGACAAAAACUUUAAUUUCUUUGAUUUCUGCUCACCUUAUGUGAGAUUUAAUUUCAUUUCCUACAUAGUCCUGAUUCAAGGAAUUUAGGGAUUUGGGCAAAUAUGUGCUAUGUUUAUGUUUAUUUUACACUGAAUUACCCAUUUGUAAUAGUUUAAGGCAAAAAACAUGCUUUAACACCAUUUACAAGAUCACACAGAUGCAUAUUUUGUGUAGAAAAGAGGUUUCAUGCAUUUAGUUGAGAAGGUCAUUAUGAGUCAAGUAUAUAUAAUAUCAUCAUGAUAUAAUCUUGGAGCUUUUCAUGGUUUUCAUCCUUAAAAACUGAUGAAUUUCAGUUUACCAGAAAAUGUUUUUAUGCAUUAUAGCCCAAAAAUCAGUUUCUUCCCACAUUUUAAGGGGAGUUCCUUAUUUACAAAAUACAAAUACUGAUAUUUAUGUUUGAAUGACCUAAGAUAUUGAAACAUUAGUCAUUGUUAAAAUGUUUAGAAGGAGAUAUUACUAUUUUUUAUAUGGUAACCUCAGCACACCUGUCCUAUUCUAAGUAAUGAAAAUCAAAAUUUGAAUGAAAUCAUAUCAUGUAACAUGUAUGGGUACAAUAUAGAUGCCCCACCCUUAUCCACAACUAUGGGGGUUUGUAUGAUUCUUUUUUUAGUAUUGUGAUAUGGCAUGCACUUAUGUGAUUUCUCUUGUAAAUAUGCAUCAGAAAUGCAUUGCCUUAUUGAAUUACUGCAUGUAUAUGCUUAUUGCUCUUGCUGUAAAUUAUCUAACAUGUGUCAAUCAUCAUUGAUCAGUAAUUCUCUUCAAAUUCUAUAGGGAUGGCCUGAUGAGGGGUAUAAUUAAGUGUGUCCAAUUGAAAUUUCAUGGCUACUUUUGCUCUACAGAUAGAAUGUUACAUAAAUCACAGAAUGAAGUUGCAUCCCAGUUGUUUCUUUUACAUUUCUUAUCAUCAAAGCAAGAUUUAUGGUUGUCAGAGCAGAUCUGAGCUCCAUUACAUGCUGAUAUCAUUUGGGCUGUCCUGUGUUACCAUGCUGCUUUUAGAUAAAAGUGAGUAUGGCAGUGUGUAGACAAGUAAACAGGCUUUACCUGAUAUAUAAAUUUACCAGAUACAGAUUUCAUUUUUGACCUGAUAAUUCACAAUAUAGUUAUGAAAUGUGUGAACAAUAGGGGUAAAUUUCUUCUUUGUUAUGCAAUGAUUGCAUAAUGAAGUGACUCUAAUGGAAUAUUUUUAUUUUGAUGUAAAGAAAAAUGUAUAUGCUCUGAUUUGGUACCAAGAUGAUUUUGUAUCUUGUUGUUUUAAGGAUGAAAAUUGGCUUCAGGUCAUGCAUGGUGUGAGGCUCCAAAUGUGUUUCAUCUGUGCUAUUUUCUUCAGUCUGAGUAAGGGAGAUAAAUCCUCAAUAGCUAAUGAAAUAUUGGGAGCUUGGGGACAGGGUUUUAGGGAUUUGGUGACAGUUGAUUGGGAAUUCUCAGGUGCAAAUUUGAAAGGGAUCUGACAUCUUUAGAGUCUCUUCAAGGUAUCACACCGGUAAUCGGCCAAUCAAAAUGAACUUAGUCAAUUGUAGUUCCAUAUAUACUUCAGAAUUAUUUUUUUCCUUGACUGCAUUUUUACAUUUUCCUUUACUCAGUUUUAAAAUUUUUUGUACCACUGAGUAGGAUAUUUCAUGUAUUUUGUUAGGUGAUGAUUUUUUUUCACAGGGACUACUUCUUUCAGGGCUCAUGCAGCAGCUUCCUGUGGAGUGUGCAGUCUGUUUACAUACAAAUGGAAAACACGUGGUUUUGAGGGUAGACCUGUUUGGAGCUAGAUAUUUUGAGAAAAUGCAGUAUCGCUUGCCCCUUUUAUGGUGUUAGCUGAUGAGAUAGGUAACAAAUAACAUUUCCUCCGAAUAUUUUGUCAUGAAAAAUACAAACUGAUUUUUAAGAAUUUUUUCCCCUCUAUAGUGUUAUAUAGUGAAAACAAUUACCGGUGUGAUACCUUGAAGGGCUGUGUGUCAAAUUGAAAAAAUGCAUGCAGGUGCCAGUUUUCAGUAUUUUAUGUCAAAUCUUGUUAACAGAAAUUAGUUUCUGUAGUCUGAAGAUAGAAAAAUGCUUUUAAAAUUUUGUAAUGAAAAAAAUAUGAAAAAUGAUGAUUUUUGGUGUGGAAAACAUGUGAUUUUUAAUAUAUAAUAAUAAAAACCUUUAAAAAUGGAUGAUAUGAAGUCACUGGAGCUUAGAAUAUUGGUUUCUGUGUUCUAGAUGCUGUAAAAGUGUGCAGAUCAGUUGUCGCAGUCAUAUUUGAUGCCCUCAGACUUUGUCGUAAGAGCACGCAGUGACUAGUUUUUCAUCGAAUGACCAAUUUUGAGUUUACGUGCAAGUCUCAGAAUUAAGCGACAAGUGCGAAACAUUGCGAAGAAGAACAUGAACAGUCUAUCGAAGGAUUAUUUUGACAAAAACUUUAAUUUCUUUGAUUUCUGCUCACCUUAUGUGAGAUUUAAUUUCAUUUCCUACAUAGUCCUGAUUCAAGGAAUUUAGGGAUUUGGGCAAAUAUGUGCUAUGUUUAUGUUUAUUUUACACUGAAUUACCCAUUUGUAAUAGUUUAAGGCAAAAAACAUGCUUUAACACCAUUUACAAGAUCACACAGAUGCAUAUUUUGUGUAGAAAAGAGGUUUCAUGCAUUUAGUUGAGAAGGUCAUUAUGAGUCAAGUAUAUAUAAUAUCAUCAUGAUAUAAUCUUGGAGCUUUUCAUGGUUUUCAUCCUUAAAAACUGAUGAAUUUCAGUUUACCAGAAAAUGUUUUUAUGCAUUAUAGCCCAAAAAUCAGUUUCUUCCCACAUUUUAAGGGGAGUUCCUUAUUUACAAAAUACAAAUACUGAUAUUUAUGUUUGAAUGACCUAAGAUAUUGAAACAUUAGUCAUUGUUAAAAUGUUUAGAAGGAGAUAUUACUAUUUUUUAUAUGGUAACCUCAGCACACCUGUCCUAUUCUAAGUAAUGAAAAUCAAAAUUUGAAUGAAAUCAUAUCAUGUAACAUGUAUGGGUACAAUAUAGAUGCCCCACCCUUAUCCACAACUAUGGGGGUUUGUAUGAUUCUUUUUUUAGUAUUGUGAUAUGGCAUGCACUUAUGUGAUUUCUCUUGUAAAUAUGCAUCAGAAAUGCAUUGCCUUAUUGAAUUACUGCAUGUAUAUGCUUAUUGCUCUUGCUGUAAAUUAUCUAACAUGUGUCAAUCAUCAUUGAUCAGUAAUUCUCUUCAAAUUCUAUAGGGAUGGCCUGAUGAGGGGUAUAAUUAAGUGUGUCCAAUUGAAAUUUCAUGGCUACUUUUGCUCUACAGAUAGAAUGUUACAUAAAUCACAGAAUGAAGUUGCAUCCCAGUUGUUUCUUUUACAUUUCUUAUCAUCAAAGCAAGAUUUAUGGUUGUCAGAGCAGAUCUGAGCUCCAUUACAUGCUGAUAUCAUUUGGGCUGUCCUGUGUUACCAUGCUGCUUUUAGAUAAAAGUGAGUAUGGCAGUGUGUAGACAAGUAAACAGGCUUUACCUGAUAUAUAAAUUUACCAGAUACAGAUUUCAUUUUUGACCUGAUAAUUCACAAUAUAGUUAUGAAAUGUGUGAACAAUAGGGGUAAAUUUCUUCUUUGUUAUGCAAUGAUUGCAUAAUGAAGUGACUCUAAUGGAAUAUUUUUAUUUUGAUGUAAAGAAAAAUGUAUAUGCUCUGAUUUGGUACCAAGAUGAUUUUGUAUCUUGUUGUUUUAAGGAUGAAAAUUGGCUUCAGGUCAUGCAUGGUGUGAGGCUCCAAAUGUGUUUCAUCUGUGCUAUUUUCUUCAGUCUGAGUAAGGGAGAUAAAUCCUCAAUAGCUAAUGAAAUAUUGGGAGCUUGGGGACAGGGUUUUAGGGAUUUGGUGACAGUUGAUUGGGAAUUCUCAGGUGCAAAUUUGAAAGGGAUCUGACAUCUUUAGAGUCUCUUCAAGGUAUCACACCGGUAAUCGGCCAAUCAAAAUGAACUUAGUCAAUUGUAGUUCCAUAUAUACUUCAGAAUUAUUUUUUUCCUUGACUGCAUUUUUACAUUUUCCUUUACUCAGUUUUAAAAUUUUUUGUACCACUGAGUAGGAUAUUUCAUGUAUUUUGUUAGGUGAUGAUUUUUUUUCACAGGGACUACUUCUUUCAGGGCUCAUGCAGCAGCUUCCUGUGGAGUGUGCAGUCUGUUUACAUACAAAUGGAAAACACGUGGUUUUGAGGGUAGACCUGUUUGGAGCUAGAUAUUUUGAGAAAAUGCAGUAUCGCUUGCCCCUUUUAUGGUGUUAGCUGAUGAGAUAGGUAACAAAUAACAUUUCCUCCGAAUAUUUUGUCAUGAAAAAUACAAACUGAUUUUUAAGAAUUUUUUCCCCUCUAUAGUGUUAUAUAGUGAAAACAAUUACCGGUGUGAUACCUUGAAGGGCUGUGUGUCAAAUUGAAAAAAUGCAUGCAGGUGCCAGUUUUCAGUAUUUUAUGUCAAAUCUUGUUAACAGAAAUUAGUUUCUGUAGUCUGAAGAUAGAAAAAUGCUUUUAAAAUUUUGUAAUGAAAAAAAUAUGAAAAAUGAUGAUUUUUGGUGUGGAAAACAUGUGAUUUUUAAUAUAUAAUAAUAAAAACCUUUAAAAAUGGAUGAUAUGAAGUCACUGGAGCUUAGAAUAUUGGUUUCUGUGUUCUAGAUGCUGUAAAAGUGUGCAGAUCAGUUGUCGCAGUCAUAUUUGAUGCCCUCAGACUUUGUCGUAAGAGCACGCAGUGACUAGUUUUUCAUCGAAUGACCAAUUUUGAGUUUACGUGCAAGUCUCAGAAUUAAGCGACAAGUGCGAAACAUUGCGAAGAAGAACAUGAACAGUCUAUCGAAGGAUUAUUUUGACAAAAACUUUAAUUUCUUUGAUUUCUGCUCACCUUAUGUGAGAUUUAAUUUCAUUUCCUACAUAGUCCUGAUUCAAGGAAUUUAGGGAUUUGGGCAAAUAUGUGCUAUGUUUAUGUUUAUUUUACACUGAAUUACCCAUUUGUAAUAGUUUAAGGCAAAAAACAUGCUUUAACACCAUUUACAAGAUCACACAGAUGCAUAUUUUGUGUAGAAAAGAGGUUUCAUGCAUUUAGUUGAGAAGGUCAUUAUGAGUCAAGUAUAUAUAAUAUCAUCAUGAUAUAAUCUUGGAGCUUUUCAUGGUUUUCAUCCUUAAAAACUGAUGAAUUUCAGUUUACCAGAAAAUGUUUUUAUGCAUUAUAGCCCAAAAAUCAGUUUCUUCCCACAUUUUAAGGGGAGUUCCUUAUUUACAAAAUACAAAUACUGAUAUUUAUGUUUGAAUGACCUAAGAUAUUGAAACAUUAGUCAUUGUUAAAAUGUUUAGAAGGAGAUAUUACUAUUUUUUAUAUGGUAACCUCAGCACACCUGUCCUAUUCUAAGUAAUGAAAAUCAAAAUUUGAAUGAAAUCAUAUCAUGUAACAUGUAUGGGUACAAUAUAGAUGCCCCACCCUUAUCCACAACUAUGGGGGUUUGUAUGAUUCUUUUUUUAGUAUUGUGAUAUGGCAUGCACUUAUGUGAUUUCUCUUGUAAAUAUGCAUCAGAAAUGCAUUGCCUUAUUGAAUUACUGCAUGUAUAUGCUUAUUGCUCUUGCUGUAAAUUAUCUAACAUGUGUCAAUCAUCAUUGAUCAGUAAUUCUCUUCAAAUUCUAUAGGGAUGGCCUGAUGAGGGGUAUAAUUAAGUGUGUCCAAUUGAAAUUUCAUGGCUACUUUUGCUCUACAGAUAGAAUGUUACAUAAAUCACAGAAUGAAGUUGCAUCCCAGUUGUUUCUUUUACAUUUCUUAUCAUCAAAGCAAGAUUUAUGGUUGUCAGAGCAGAUCUGAGCUCCAUUACAUGCUGAUAUCAUUUGGGCUGUCCUGUGUUACCAUGCUGCUUUUAGAUAAAAGUGAGUAUGGCAGUGUGUAGACAAGUAAACAGGCUUUACCUGAUAUAUAAAUUUACCAGAUACAGAUUUCAUUUUUGACCUGAUAAUUCACAAUAUAGUUAUGAAAUGUGUGAACAAUAGGGGUAAAUUUCUUCUUUGUUAUGCAAUGAUUGCAUAAUGAAGUGACUCUAAUGGAAUAUUUUUAUUUUGAUGUAAAGAAAAAUGUAUAUGCUCUGAUUUGGUACCAAGAUGAUUUUGUAUCUUGUUGUUUUAAGGAUGAAAAUUGGCUUCAGGUCAUGCAUGGUGUGAGGCUCCAAAUGUGUUUCAUCUGUGCUAUUUUCUUCAGUCUGAGUAAGGGAGAUAAAUCCUCAAUAGCUAAUGAAAUAUUGGGAGCUUGGGGACAGGGUUUUAGGGAUUUGGUGACAGUUGAUUGGGAAUUCUCAGGUGCAAAUUUGAAAGGGAUCUGACAUCUUUAGAGUCUCUUCAAGGUAUCACACCGGUAAUCGGCCAAUCAAAAUGAACUUAGUCAAUUGUAGUUCCAUAUAUACUUCAGAAUUAUUUUUUUCCUUGACUGCAUUUUUACAUUUUCCUUUACUCAGUUUUAAAAUUUUUUGUACCACUGAGUAGGAUAUUUCAUGUAUUUUGUUAGGUGAUGAUUUUUUUUCACAGGGACUACUUCUUUCAGGGCUCAUGCAGCAGCUUCCUGUGGAGUGUGCAGUCUGUUUACAUACAAAUGGAAAACACGUGGUUUUGAGGGUAGACCUGUUUGGAGCUAGAUAUUUUGAGAAAAUGCAGUAUCGCUUGCCCCUUUUAUGGUGUUAGCUGAUGAGAUAGGUAACAAAUAACAUUUCCUCCGAAUAUUUUGUCAUGAAAAAUACAAACUGAUUUUUAAGAAUUUUUUCCCCUCUAUAGUGUUAUAUAGUGAAAACAAUUACCGGUGUGAUACCUUGAAGGGCUGUGUGUCAAAUUGAAAAAAUGCAUGCAGGUGCCAGUUUUCAGUAUUUUAUGUCAAAUCUUGUUAACAGAAAUUAGUUUCUGUAGUCUGAAGAUAGAAAAAUGCUUUUAAAAUUUUGUAAUGAAAAAAAUAUGAAAAAUGAUGAUUUUUGGUGUGGAAAACAUGUGAUUUUUAAUAUAUAAUAAUAAAAACCUUUAAAAAUGGAUGAUAUGAAGUCACUGGAGCUUAGAAUAUUGGUUUCUGUGUUCUAGAUGCUGUAAAAGUGUGCAGAUCAGUUGUCGCAGUCAUAUUUGAUGCCCUCAGACUUUGUCGUAAGAGCACGCAGUGACUAGUUUUUCAUCGAAUGACCAAUUUUGAGUUUACGUGCAAGUCUCAGAAUUAAGCGACAAGUGCGAAACAUUGCGAAGAAGAACAUGAACAGUCUAUCGAAGGAUUAUUUUGACAAAAACUUUAAUUUCUUUGAUUUCUGCUCACCUUAUGUGAGAUUUAAUUUCAUUUCCUACAUAGUCCUGAUUCAAGGAAUUUAGGGAUUUGGGCAAAUAUGUGCUAUGUUUAUGUUUAUUUUACACUGAAUUACCCAUUUGUAAUAGUUUAAGGCAAAAAACAUGCUUUAACACCAUUUACAAGAUCACACAGAUGCAUAUUUUGUGUAGAAAAGAGGUUUCAUGCAUUUAGUUGAGAAGGUCAUUAUGAGUCAAGUAUAUAUAAUAUCAUCAUGAUAUAAUCUUGGAGCUUUUCAUGGUUUUCAUCCUUAAAAACUGAUGAAUUUCAGUUUACCAGAAAAUGUUUUUAUGCAUUAUAGCCCAAAAAUCAGUUUCUUCCCACAUUUUAAGGGGAGUUCCUUAUUUACAAAAUACAAAUACUGAUAUUUAUGUUUGAAUGACCUAAGAUAUUGAAACAUUAGUCAUUGUUAAAAUGUUUAGAAGGAGAUAUUACUAUUUUUUAUAUGGUAACCUCAGCACACCUGUCCUAUUCUAAGUAAUGAAAAUCAAAAUUUGAAUGAAAUCAUAUCAUGUAACAUGUAUGGGUACAAUAUAGAUGCCCCACCCUUAUCCACAACUAUGGGGGUUUGUAUGAUUCUUUUUUUAGUAUUGUGAUAUGGCAUGCACUUAUGUGAUUUCUCUUGUAAAUAUGCAUCAGAAAUGCAUUGCCUUAUUGAAUUACUGCAUGUAUAUGCUUAUUGCUCUUGCUGUAAAUUAUCUAACAUGUGUCAAUCAUCAUUGAUCAGUAAUUCUCUUCAAAUUCUAUAGGGAUGGCCUGAUGAGGGGUAUAAUUAAGUGUGUCCAAUUGAAAUUUCAUGGCUACUUUUGCUCUACAGAUAGAAUGUUACAUAAAUCACAGAAUGAAGUUGCAUCCCAGUUGUUUCUUUUACAUUUCUUAUCAUCAAAGCAAGAUUUAUGGUUGUCAGAGCAGAUCUGAGCUCCAUUACAUGCUGAUAUCAUUUGGGCUGUCCUGUGUUACCAUGCUGCUUUUAGAUAAAAGUGAGUAUGGCAGUGUGUAGACAAGUAAACAGGCUUUACCUGAUAUAUAAAUUUACCAGAUACAGAUUUCAUUUUUGACCUGAUAAUUCACAAUAUAGUUAUGAAAUGUGUGAACAAUAGGGGUAAAUUUCUUCUUUGUUAUGCAAUGAUUGCAUAAUGAAGUGACUCUAAUGGAAUAUUUUUAUUUUGAUGUAAAGAAAAAUGUAUAUGCUCUGAUUUGGUACCAAGAUGAUUUUGUAUCUUGUUGUUUUAAGGAUGAAAAUUGGCUUCAGGUCAUGCAUGGUGUGAGGCUCCAAAUGUGUUUCAUCUGUGCUAUUUUCUUCAGUCUGAGUAAGGGAGAUAAAUCCUCAAUAGCUAAUGAAAUAUUGGGAGCUUGGGGACAGGGUUUUAGGGAUUUGGUGACAGUUGAUUGGGAAUUCUCAGGUGCAAAUUUGAAAGGGAUCUGACAUCUUUAGAGUCUCUUCAAGGUAUCACACCGGUAAUCGGCCAAUCAAAAUGAACUUAGUCAAUUGUAGUUCCAUAUAUACUUCAGAAUUAUUUUUUUCCUUGACUGCAUUUUUACAUUUUCCUUUACUCAGUUUUAAAAUUUUUUGUACCACUGAGUAGGAUAUUUCAUGUAUUUUGUUAGGUGAUGAUUUUUUUUCACAGGGACUACUUCUUUCAGGGCUCAUGCAGCAGCUUCCUGUGGAGUGUGCAGUCUGUUUACAUACAAAUGGAAAACACGUGGUUUUGAGGGUAGACCUGUUUGGAGCUAGAUAUUUUGAGAAAAUGCAGUAUCGCUUGCCCCUUUUAUGGUGUUAGCUGAUGAGAUAGGUAACAAAUAACAUUUCCUCCGAAUAUUUUGUCAUGAAAAAUACAAACUGAUUUUUAAGAAUUUUUUCCCCUCUAUAGUGUUAUAUAGUGAAAACAAUUACCGGUGUGAUACCUUGAAGGGCUGUGUGUCAAAUUGAAAAAAUGCAUGCAGGUGCCAGUUUUCAGUAUUUUAUGUCAAAUCUUGUUAACAGAAAUUAGUUUCUGUAGUCUGAAGAUAGAAAAAUGCUUUUAAAAUUUUGUAAUGAAAAAAAUAUGAAAAAUGAUGAUUUUUGGUGUGGAAAACAUGUGAUUUUUAAUAUAUAAUAAUAAAAACCUUUAAAAAUGGAUGAUAUGAAGUCACUGGAGCUUAGAAUAUUGGUUUCUGUGUUCUAGAUGCUGUAAAAGUGUGCAGAUCAGUUGUCGCAGUCAUAUUUGAUGCCCUCAGACUUUGUCGUAAGAGCACGCAGUGACUAGUUUUUCAUCGAAUGACCAAUUUUGAGUUUACGUGCAAGUCUCAGAAUUAAGCGACAAGUGCGAAACAUUGCGAAGAAGAACAUGAACAGUCUAUCGAAGGAUUAUUUUGACAAAAACUUUAAUUUCUUUGAUUUCUGCUCACCUUAUGUGAGAUUUAAUUUCAUUUCCUACAUAGUCCUGAUUCAAGGAAUUUAGGGAUUUGGGCAAAUAUGUGCUAUGUUUAUGUUUAUUUUACACUGAAUUACCCAUUUGUAAUAGUUUAAGGCAAAAAACAUGCUUUAACACCAUUUACAAGAUCACACAGAUGCAUAUUUUGUGUAGAAAAGAGGUUUCAUGCAUUUAGUUGAGAAGGUCAUUAUGAGUCAAGUAUAUAUAAUAUCAUCAUGAUAUAAUCUUGGAGCUUUUCAUGGUUUUCAUCCUUAAAAACUGAUGAAUUUCAGUUUACCAGAAAAUGUUUUUAUGCAUUAUAGCCCAAAAAUCAGUUUCUUCCCACAUUUUAAGGGGAGUUCCUUAUUUACAAAAUACAAAUACUGAUAUUUAUGUUUGAAUGACCUAAGAUAUUGAAACAUUAGUCAUUGUUAAAAUGUUUAGAAGGAGAUAUUACUAUUUUUUAUAUGGUAACCUCAGCACACCUGUCCUAUUCUAAGUAAUGAAAAUCAAAAUUUGAAUGAAAUCAUAUCAUGUAACAUGUAUGGGUACAAUAUAGAUGCCCCACCCUUAUCCACAACUAUGGGGGUUUGUAUGAUUCUUUUUUUAGUAUUGUGAUAUGGCAUGCACUUAUGUGAUUUCUCUUGUAAAUAUGCAUCAGAAAUGCAUUGCCUUAUUGAAUUACUGCAUGUAUAUGCUUAUUGCUCUUGCUGUAAAUUAUCUAACAUGUGUCAAUCAUCAUUGAUCAGUAAUUCUCUUCAAAUUCUAUAGGGAUGGCCUGAUGAGGGGUAUAAUUAAGUGUGUCCAAUUGAAAUUUCAUGGCUACUUUUGCUCUACAGAUAGAAUGUUACAUAAAUCACAGAAUGAAGUUGCAUCCCAGUUGUUUCUUUUACAUUUCUUAUCAUCAAAGCAAGAUUUAUGGUUGUCAGAGCAGAUCUGAGCUCCAUUACAUGCUGAUAUCAUUUGGGCUGUCCUGUGUUACCAUGCUGCUUUUAGAUAAAAGUGAGUAUGGCAGUGUGUAGACAAGUAAACAGGCUUUACCUGAUAUAUAAAUUUACCAGAUACAGAUUUCAUUUUUGACCUGAUAAUUCACAAUAUAGUUAUGAAAUGUGUGAACAAUAGGGGUAAAUUUCUUCUUUGUUAUGCAAUGAUUGCAUAAUGAAGUGACUCUAAUGGAAUAUUUUUAUUUUGAUGUAAAGAAAAAUGUAUAUGCUCUGAUUUGGUACCAAGAUGAUUUUGUAUCUUGUUGUUUUAAGGAUGAAAAUUGGCUUCAGGUCAUGCAUGGUGUGAGGCUCCAAAUGUGUUUCAUCUGUGCUAUUUUCUUCAGUCUGAGUAAGGGAGAUAAAUCCUCAAUAGCUAAUGAAAUAUUGGGAGCUUGGGGACAGGGUUUUAGGGAUUUGGUGACAGUUGAUUGGGAAUUCUCAGGUGCAAAUUUGAAAGGGAUCUGACAUCUUUAGAGUCUCUUCAAGGUAUCACACCGGUAAUCGGCCAAUCAAAAUGAACUUAGUCAAUUGUAGUUCCAUAUAUACUUCAGAAUUAUUUUUUUCCUUGACUGCAUUUUUACAUUUUCCUUUACUCAGUUUUAAAAUUUUUUGUACCACUGAGUAGGAUAUUUCAUGUAUUUUGUUAGGUGAUGAUUUUUUUUCACAGGGACUACUUCUUUCAGGGCUCAUGCAGCAGCUUCCUGUGGAGUGUGCAGUCUGUUUACAUACAAAUGGAAAACACGUGGUUUUGAGGGUAGACCUGUUUGGAGCUAGAUAUUUUGAGAAAAUGCAGUAUCGCUUGCCCCUUUUAUGGUGUUAGCUGAUGAGAUAGGGCUCAUGCAGCAGCUUCCUGUGGAGUGUGCAGUCUGUUUACAUACAAAUGGAAAACACGUGGUUUUGAGGGUAGACCUGUUUGGAGCUAGAUAUUUUGAGAAAAUGCAGUAUCGCUUGCCCCUUUUAUGGUGUUAGCUGAUGAGAUAGGUAACAAAUAACAUUUCCUCCGAAUAUUUUGUCAUGAAAAAUACAAACUGAUUUUUAAGAAUUUUUUCCCCUCUAUAGUGUUAUAUAGUGAAAACAAUUACCGGUGUGAUACCUUGAAGGGCUGUGUGUCAAAUUGAAAAAAUGCAUGCAGGUGCCAGUUUUCAGUAUUUUAUGUCAAAUCUUGUUAACAGAAAUUAGUUUCUGUAGUCUGAAGAUAGAAAAAUGCUUUUAAAAUUUUGUAAUGAAAAAAAUAUGAAAAAUGAUGAUUUUUGGUGUGGAAAACAUGUGAUUUUUAAUAUAUAAUAAUAAAAACCUUUAAAAAUGGAUGAUAUGAAGUCACUGGAGCUUAGAAUAUUGGUUUCUGUGUUCUAGAUGCUGUAAAAGUGUGCAGAUCAGUUGUCGCAGUCAUAUUUGAUGCCCUCAGACUUUGUCGUAAGAGCACGCAGUGACUAGUUUUUCAUCGAAUGACCAAUUUUGAGUUUACGUGCAAGUCUCAGAAUUAAGCGACAAGUGCGAAACAUUGCGAAGAAGAACAUGAACAGUCUAUCGAAGGAUUAUUUUGACAAAAACUUUAAUUUCUUUGAUUUCUGCUCACCUUAUGUGAGAUUUAAUUUCAUUUCCUACAUAGUCCUGAUUCAAGGAAUUUAGGGAUUUGGGCAAAUAUGUGCUAUGUUUAUGUUUAUUUUACACUGAAUUACCCAUUUGUAAUAGUUUAAGGCAAAAAACAUGCUUUAACACCAUUUACAAGAUCACACAGAUGCAUAUUUUGUGUAGAAAAGAGGUUUCAUGCAUUUAGUUGAGAAGGUCAUUAUGAGUCAAGUAUAUAUAAUAUCAUCAUGAUAUAAUCUUGGAGCUUUUCAUGGUUUUCAUCCUUAAAAACUGAUGAAUUUCAGUUUACCAGAAAAUGUUUUUAUGCAUUAUAGCCCAAAAAUCAGUUUCUUCCCACAUUUUAAGGGGAGUUCCUUAUUUACAAAAUACAAAUACUGAUAUUUAUGUUUGAAUGACCUAAGAUAUUGAAACAUUAGUCAUUGUUAAAAUGUUUAGAAGGAGAUAUUACUAUUUUUUAUAUGGUAACCUCAGCACACCUGUCCUAUUCUAAGUAAUGAAAAUCAAAAUUUGAAUGAAAUCAUAUCAUGUAACAUGUAUGGGUACAAUAUAGAUGCCCCACCCUUAUCCACAACUAUGGGGGUUUGUAUGAUUCUUUUUUUAGUAUUGUGAUAUGGCAUGCACUUAUGUGAUUUCUCUUGUAAAUAUGCAUCAGAAAUGCAUUGCCUUAUUGAAUUACUGCAUGUAUAUGCUUAUUGCUCUUGCUGUAAAUUAUCUAACAUGUGUCAAUCAUCAUUGAUCAGUAAUUCUCUUCAAAUUCUAUAGGGAUGGCCUGAUGAGGGGUAUAAUUAAGUGUGUCCAAUUGAAAUUUCAUGGCUACUUUUGCUCUACAGAUAGAAUGUUACAUAAAUCACAGAAUGAAGUUGCA